ACUAAACAUAGCCCAAAAUACACUUUAUAUAAUACUCCAAUAGCAUUAAAAUAAAACAUUCAUACCAAUAAAAGUAUAGGUGAUAGAAAUUUUACUCGGCGCUAUAGAGAAAGUACCGCAAGGGAAAAAAUGAAAGAAAGUUAUAAGUAAAAAAUAGCAAAGUUUAAUUCUUGUACCUUUUGCAUAAUGAUUCAACUAGAAGAUAUUAGCAAAAAGAUUUACAGUUAAGUAACCCGAAACCAGACGAGCUACCCAUUAGCAGCUUAAAGAGCAAACUCGUCUAUGUGGCAAAAUAGUGAGAAGACUAGCGGGUAGAGGCGACAAACCUACCGAGCCUGGUGAUAGCUGGUUGUCCAGAGUAGAAUUUUAGUUCUAAUUUAAACCUACCACAAAAAUAAAAAAAAUUAAAUGUAGGUUUAAAUAAUAAUUUAAAAGGGUACAGCCUUUUAAAUACGGGAUACAACCCCAAUUAGUGAGUAAAACAAAUUAAACCACUUCAGUUGGCCUAAAAGCAGCCACCAAAUAAGAUAGCGUUCAAGCUCGACAGCAUAAAAAACUUAAUACCAACUAUGAUAAUGAUACUCCUAAUAUAUAACUGGACUACUCUAUUUAAAAAUAGAGGUAAUAAUGUUGAUAUGAGUAACAAGAAAAAUUUCUCCUCGCAUACGUGUAUAUCAGAGCGAAUGACUCACUGAUAGUUAACAAAAUAAGUAAAAACAACCAAUUAAACUCUUAUAAACAACUGUUAACCCAACACAGGAAUGCAAGCAGGGAAAGAUUAAAAGAAGUAAAAGGAACUCAGCAAACACAAACCCCGCCUGUUUACCAAAAACAUCACCUCUAGCAUAAAAAGUAUUAGAGGCACUGCCUGCCCGGUGACCCUAGUUUAACGGCCGCGGUAUCCUGACCGUGCAAAGGUAGCAUAAUCACUUGUUCUCUAAAUAAGGACUUGUAUGAAUGGCUUAACGAGGGUUUUACUGUCUCUUACUUCCAAUCAGUGAAAUUGAUCUUCCCGUGAAGAGGCGGGAAUACAUAAAUAAGACGAGAAGACCCUAUGGAGCUUUAAUUAACCAACUCACAAAGCAUAAUUCCACUCUACAAGAGAUAAAUACAUUUCCACUGAGCUGGUAAUUUAGGUUGGGGUGACCUCGGAAUAAAAACCAACUCCCGAGAAAGUUUUAUCAAGACAUACAAGUCAAAAUUACUACGUCCUAUAUUGAUCCGUCAAAGACGAUCAACGAAAUAAGUUACCCUAGGGAUAACAGCGCAAUCCUAUUUAAGAGUCCAUAUCGACAAUUAGGGUUUACGACCUCGAUGUUGGAUCAGGACAUCCCAAUGGUGCAGCCGCUAUUAAUGUGUUCGUUUGUUCAACGAUUAAAGUCCUACGUGAUCUGAGUUCAGACCGGAGUAAUCCAGGUCGGUUUCUAUCUAUUCUAUAAGUCUCUCCCAGUACGAAAGGACAAGAGAGACAGGGCCCACUUUAAAUAAGCGCCCUCAUUACAACAGAUGAGCUAAUCUCAAUCUGACCAUAUCCACAAAGACAGCCCAAGAACAGGGUC
rnacentral:rRNA from 1 species